rnacentral:rRNA from 1 species
AUUGAACGCUGGCGGCAUGCUUUACACAUGCAAGUCGAACGGCAGCGGGGAGGAGCUUGCUUCUCUGCCGGCGAGUGGCGAACGGGUGAGCAAUACAUCGGAACGUGUCGAGAAGAGGGGGAUAACCACCCGAAAGGGUGGCUAAUACCGCAUAAAUUCUGAGGAAGAAAGCUGGGGACCUGGGAAUAGGCCUAGCGCUUUUUGAGCGGCCGAUGUCGGAUUAGCUAGUUGGUGAGGUAAAGGCUCACCAAGGCGAAGAUCUGUAGCGGGUCUGAGAGGAUGAUCCGCCACACUGGGACUGAGACACGGCCCAGACUCCUACGGGAGGCAGCAGUGGGGAAUUUUGGACAAUGGGGGCAACCCUGAUCCAGCCAUGCCGCGUGUAUGAAGAAGGCCUUAGGGUUGUAAAGUACUUUUGUUAGGGAAGAAAAGUCAGCUGUGAAUAAUGGCUGAUACUGACGGUACCUAAAGAAUAAGCACCGGCUAACUACGUG